AAUUGACACUUAUUAAUUAUACACAUCGAUGUGGUACAGUGUGAUAUUCCUGUACAUAUAAUGUGACAUGGUCAGAUCAGAGUAAGUGACUCAUUCAUUACCUCGUUAUCAGUCACUUUCCUAUCAAUGGGGAAAAUAUUCGACACCGUCAAUUUAAAGGAAGAGAGGUGUUUGGGGCUUAUGGUUUCCAGCGGGUUCAGUCCAUGGCUGGCUCCAAGGCAGAAAUACAUGGUGGAAGGGCUUGGCAGAGGACAGCUGAUCACCCCAGGGCAGCCAGGAGGCAGCGAGUGAGAGGGGAAUACAUCCUCCAGGGUCAGGUCCCUGGUGGCCCACCUAUUUACACCAGGCCUCCCUCUCAAUGGCACAUUCAGGAUUAAUCCACUAAUGAAUAUAGGCCUCUGUGAUCGAAUCAUCUUUCAAACUCUUUUGGUGUUCAUUUGAGACACACACAAUAAGGCACUCCUGAUAUUUUUGUGUUAGGAAUAUGCAAAACCUUCUCCAGUGGCUGGUUUGGAAUACACAGUAAGUAAUUAUUGCCAACCAUAGUACGGGAUAUUAGAAGUCAUUCCCCUUCCAGCUCCUCCCUACCUCCCCCUCCUCCUCUCUCUGUCCUCCUCUCCAGGCUCUGGUAAGCACUGUUCUUUUCUCUUUCUAUGAGACCACAUUACUGCCCACUCCUAAUCAGGCUUCAAUUUUACAAAACUCUCCUUUGCCUUAGAGGAAAGCUGUUUCCACCAUUCAGGGAAAAGCAAUGUCUGGAACAAAACACCCUCAAAGAACAUUAGAGGCAUCGUGGGAUACUGUCCAUGUUUUCCUAUUUCGCGUCUGAUUCUUUUUCAUGCUAAGUUUUCCUCCUUUGUUCUCAACCAUGCACUGACUUAUUCUCCUAUACUUUGAUUUAAAAAGAAUCAGGUCACCAGAUUGGCACAGGAUGGUCCUGCAUGCAGCGGGGCUCUUGAAGUAGCUUCACCGCUUCCCGCUUCUGUGUUGAUGAUGAACUCAUCACAACCAAGUUCUGUCAGAGGAUCGCUCGCUUCAGAUGUAGUUGGAGCCGUGAUAAUUGUGGAGAUAUCAGAGUCCAUCCUCCGAGGGUUCCUCUGUUAUUCCACAUCAAACGCCGCUUCCCUUGCUCAGCAGGCUUCUAAGAAUUGCCUGCGGCUUUCUUCUAGCUCCUGUAUUCGGCCUGAAGCAAUGGAGUAAUUAAUUCCUAAGAUGAUACUGUUGAGUGGGAGAUGGAGGCAGAAGUUCGGCCAUGCAGCCAGCCCUGGGCUGAUCAGGAGCCUGGGGCCGGGGGUCUUUCUGUCAGCUUCUUCACUGAACCUUCACUGAGCUCCUGUGGCUGUGCCACUCCGGAUUCCACGCUGCCUCUGCUGGCUUCUCACCACCUACCCGAUGUCCCUGCAGAGUGAGCUGCAGAGCAGGACAGUGCCACUGUGGGGUUUGGAGGCCCCAGUGCAUCUCUGAAGACCUCUGUGUGCCUUGCAUGAAUAAAAACUUACCUAUUAUUUGAACACUUAAAAACAAAAGACCUCUGAAUAGACAACAAGAGCACAAGAAUAAAGGGAGAGUCCGGAGCAGACCAGGGAUGGUGGUUGCCUGGACUGGCCCCCUGGAAGGCCUGCCCCUGGCUCUCCUCUCCUGUGGUUGUAGCAGCUGUGCUGGACCCUGUUGAGGAGACAGAGGAGGGGUGCUCCUUACGCCUCUCUCCUGCUUCUCUCACAGGCGCCCCCAAACCAGCAGUGGCCACUCAGGGCACCAACAAAAGCAAAGCUCUGUGGCCAGCGGGAGCGCGUGGACACGGCACGCUUGCAAGACUGCUUUGGAAGAUGGCCCCGUGUUAAACACUUGUGCCUUACUCAUGGAGAUGCUCCCUCUCCCCUCCUUACCCCGGACUCUGCAAACCCCUCAACAGGAGAGAUCAGGACUGGUCAUGCACAGGGUGAAGACAAGGACUGUUGGGGCCCUCUGAGUAGCCCUCGGGGCGCAGGUGGCUGCUGCUGCUGGGAGGUCUCCAGCAUACUGCCUGGUUGUGGGGAGCUGACAGCACACUAGGGACACCUGCACAUCAGGCCUUUCCUAGCCUACACCAUGCGCUUCUAUGGAACCUUCUUAAACCCACAGAAGCCAGCUGUCAGCCUGUACCACGCGAGUCAGGGCUGGGGCUGGGCAGCGGAAGGUGACAGUGCCUUCCUCACCCUGCUCUCCUGCUCUGUUUGCUGUCUCUCCUGCCGUGAGGCUCUUGCAGGGUAGGAGUUGUGCAUACUGUUGGCUUUGCACUUAUCAAGGUCUAAGAGGGACUCUGUUGGCAUUUUGGCAAGAAAGACCAGGAAUGUAUCUUCACGGUCCACUUCCAUCCCCGCUGACCCCUGACACCUCAGGGUGCAGAUGGCCCUACUAAAAUGACAGUUAACUUGGGUUCAGCCUGGAGUCUAUCUCUUUCCGCGUUCCCUGAAUGUUAGGGUGUGGCAGUCUGCCCAGACACCUCAGGACAAGAGGGUGGUGACAAACUCUGAGCUGUCCCACUAAGCUCAGAUUCGAGCUCUGCCAUUGAACCAUCCGGUCAAGGUCCCUCACUUGCUGCCUAAUGAUGUUUCAGUCACUGACGGACUGAGCGGAGCAUGGUUUACAUCUGGAUGGCCUCGGUGCAUAGCUACAGUGCCAUUGAGGGCUGUGCAAGUGCCUCUGUGCCGUUCUCAUGAUGAGGAAAUCCACUAGUGGUGCCCUCCGCAGGGCACGUCUCAUGCCAGCAACCACCUGGCCCUUUGGCCCCACCUAUUUGUGCUCUUCACCUUCGUGGCCUGCCAUCCUGGGUCUGAGGACUAUCACCGAUGCAAGCAGGCGCUCAAAAUUUACUACUGUCCAACAAGGAGGGAUCAUCGCUUGCUAUGUUUUUUGCACUAAAGAAGACAGAGGAGACAUGGAGGAAAAAAGAGGUCAUAUAAUACUUUAAUUGUACCUAGACAGGUUUCUAAGUAGUGUUCACAUUUGUAAGUUGGCUUGCAAAGGGGCUAAACAAAGCCAGUCUCUCCCCAUCUGAGGCCAUAGCAGGAGGGCUUUCAUUCACAUCCCAGGGGGGUGAUACUAUAGUGAGUUUCCAAGGCCACUCCUUGAGUUAGAUUCUCUCAUUCAGCCAGGCUCUGGACAGAUGGAACCAUCACAUCAGCCAGCUAAAGACAGCCACAGUGAGGGAGGAGCCUAGGGGAAGGCAAGGUGGCUGGACAGUUAGGCAUGACCUAUCAGUCACUGAGACCUAGCCAGCCUUCCCAAAUGUGAUGUCAGGAGAGGGUGUGGAAGGCGGCCACCAUUCACCCAGUGGGUGCACUCUGCAGGGCGGACGUCUUUUCCUACUUUAACUGGCCCAUGCUUGCUCAACAGAAGACAGUUUUUCUUUUUUUCCCUACAUUUGGUGCUCCUUCAGUACCUUCAAUAAAUGUUCAACUUUUCCA